rnacentral:rRNA from 1 species
UCGAGGAUCUUCGGCAAUGGGGGCAACCCUGACCGAGCGACGCCGCGUGUGCGAUGAAGGCCUUCGGGUUGUAAAGCACUGUCGGGAGGGAGAAAAGGGGAAACCUUUGAUCGACCUCCGGAGGAAGGACGGGCUAAGUUCGUGCCAGCAGCCGCGGUAAGACGAACCGUCCAAACGUUGUUCGGAAUCACUGGGCUUAAAGGGCGCGUAGGCGGGUGCGUAAGUCAGGGGUGAAAUCCCACGGCUCAACCGUGGAAGUGCCUUUGAUACUGCGGACCUCGAGGGGGGUAGGGGCGUGCGGAACUUCCGGUGGAGCGGUGAAAUGCGUAGAUAUCGGAAGGAACACCGGUGGCGAAAGCGGCACGCUGGAUCCCAUCUGACGCUGAGGCGCGAAAGCCAGGGUAGCAAACGG